GACGAACGCUGGCGGCGUGCUUAACACAUGCGAGUCGAACGGAAAGGCACUGCUUUUGUGGGGUGCUCGAGUGGCGAACGGGUGAGUAACAGGUGAGUAACCUGCCCUUGACUUUGGGAUAACUUCAGGAAACUGGGGCUAAUCCCGGAUAGGAGCUCAUGCUGCAUGGUGGGGGGGGGAAAGUUUCGGCGGUGGGGGAUGGAUUCGCGGCUUAUCAGCUUGUUGGUGGGGUGGUGGCUUACCAAGGCUUUGACCGGUAGCCGGCCUGGGAGGGUGACCAGCCACAUUGGGACUGAGAUACGGCCCAGACUCCUACGGGAGGCAGCAGUGGGGAAUAUUGCACAAUGGGCGGAAGCCUGAUGCAGCAACGCCGCGUGCGUGAUGACGGCCUGCGGGUUGUAAACCGCUUUCGCCUGUGACGAAGCGGGAGUGACGGUAAUGGGUAAAGAAGCACCGGCUAACUACGUG
rnacentral:rRNA from 1 species